GACGAACGCUGGCGGCGUGCCUAACACAUGCAAGUCGAACGCAGUGGCGAACGGGUGAGUAACCCGUAAUCAACCUGCCCUUCAGAGGGGGACAACAGUUGGAAACGACUGCUAAUACCUCAUACUGAAGGAGGGGCUUGCGUCUGAUUAGGUAGUUGGAGGGGUUACGGCCCACCAGGGCGAUGAUCAGUAGCCGGGCUGGGAAGAUGAACGGCCACAAUGGGACUGAGACACGGCCCAGAAUCCUACGGGAGGCAGCAGGGGGGAAUCGUCCGCAAAGGAAGAAAAGCUGAAGGAACAACGGCGGGUGAGUGAUGGCGGGCUUCGGGUUGUAAAACUAUGUUAAUCGGGGCGCGGUACCGGAAGAGAAAGCCACGGCUAACUACGUGCCAGCAGCCGCGGUAAUUC
rnacentral:rRNA from 1 species